rnacentral:rRNA from 3 species
ACGACUCUCGGCAACGGAUAUCUCGGCUCUUGCAUCGAUGAAGAACGCAGCGAAAUGCGAUACUUGGUGUGAAUUGCAGAAUCCCGUGAACCAUCGAGUCUUUGAACGCAAGUUGCGCCCGAAGCCAUUAGGCCGAGGGCACGUCUGCCUGGGCGUCACG